rnacentral:rRNA from 1 species
GAGCUUGCUCCCUGAGAUUAGCGGCGGACGGGUGAGUAACACGUGGGCAACCUGCCUAUAAGACUGGGAUAACUUCGGGAAACCGGAGCUAAUACCGGAUACGUUCUUUUCUCGCAUGAGANAAGAUGGAAAGACGGUUUACGCUGUCACUUAUAGAUGGGCCCGCGGCGCAUUAGCUAGUUGGUGAGGUAAUGGCUCACCAAGGCGACGAUGCGUAGCCGACCUGAGAGGGUGAUCGGCCACACUGGGACUGAGACACGGCCCAGACUCCUACGGGAGGCAGCAGUAGGGAAUCUUCCGCAAUGGACGAAAGUCUGACGGAGCAACGCCGCGUGAACGAAGAAGGCCUUCGGGUCGUAAAGUUCUGUUGUUAGGGAAGAACAAGUACCAGAGUAACUGCUGGUACCUUGACGGUACCUAACCAGAAAGCCACGGCUAACUACGUGCCAGCAGCCGCGGUAAUACGUAGGUGGCAAGCGUUGUCCGGAAUUAUUGGGCGUAAAGCGCGCGCAGGUGGUUCUUUAAGUCUGAUGUGAAAGCCCACGGCUCAACCGUGGAGGGUCAUUGGAAACUG